GAGAGGAAAAAUAGCAAGAAGCCAUUCGGCAGAGAGAAGAAAAUUCUCAAAUUGUUCUUUGCUUUGUAUAUUUGGUUUUCUCUUCCUAUUGUAAGUGUGUGAGCUUGGGUUAUUUGGGUCUUUGGGAAAUUGAGUGAUAAACACUAUUGUACGUUCUCAUUUAUUAUAGUGGAAUACUCCGUCGUCUCCAAACUGGAUGUAGGCAUUGCCGAACCAGUAUAAAUCUUGGUGUUCUUGUUGGUGUUGUUUUGUGUUCAUUAUUUUAUCUCUUGCCAGUUGUGUUUAUUUUCACUCGCACUUAGUUGACGCUUCCGCACAACAAGUUUAGUAUAAAUCAACAUUGCCUUGAGGUUGACGUCUAAUAAUCUUUCAAUUUUAAUGACAAGAUAAACUUUCAAUUAAAAAUUGGUUAUAAAUUGGUAGCGGCACACCUCCUCUUACAACCAUCAAAAUUCAUAAUGAUCAAUCGACUUACUAGUAGCCUGCCUUCCAUCCACUCCAGGCAAUGACUGUUGCCAAGAAGGUGGAGCACCCAAGCAAUUAACAAAUGCAAAUGGGAAGGAAGCAAGAAAGAAGAAAUUGAAUUCACAUGCCUGUUGAAGUGUUGUCCACUCCAAAGAAGCUACAAUUCAAUGACAAUUAACUAAUAGGAGGAUAGUACUACAGCUGCCACAAGGAAAGAAAAAAAUUUAAAAAAAAUUAAAAAAAAUAGAAAAAAAUUCAGCAAAGGAAUUGUGGCCAGCCACACCAACAUAGGCAAGAUGAAGUGGGAGAAUUGAGCUCACUUCUCUUGAGCUCUCUCUGUUUCCUCCAAUUCUUUUAAUUCCAGUUUUAAAUUUCUAUUUUAGUUUUUAUGGGAAACUAACUCCCUAGCCGAAGCUUAUUUAGUUUGAUCCGAAUUUAAGCUUAAUGUAAAUUAUUUUUAUUAUGGUUGUUCAAAUAAAAUUGGUAGUUUUUCUCUUUAUUUAA